UGGACGUCUCACAUCAGGGCAACUACAGCUGUCUUUACUCAUACCAAAACAACACUAUCAAGUCACCUUGGAGCAACAGUGUGUUAACAUCACUGUGGUGGAUUUGCAGCAGCCCAGCAUUUCCCACAGUGCUCCUGAUGGGUGGUUUGACGUGGGGCCUCAGGGGCCAGUGAUCACCAGGGUCCACAGUUUCACUAUUAUCUGUUCCACUGAAUCUCGUUAUCCUGGAGGCUUCUUCUACUUGUUUAGGGAAUCAAGUAUCACCAGCAGUCAAUCAGCUGUCAAUCACUCCGCCUCCUUCUUCUUUCCUGAGGCAGAUUAUUUGCAUGAGGGAAACUACAGUUGUGUUUAUGAAGUCAGUGUGUCGUCACGUACCUUCCGUUCAUCUGCCUCUCAAAAGCUGGUCAUCAAUAUCACAGACACAAGGUUGGUCAAUGGGGUGGAUUCAUGCUGUGGGAGAGUGGAGAUCUAUCAUAAUGGCCAGUGGGGGAACCGUGUGCGAUGAUAACUGGGACAUGACAAAUGCUGCUGUGGUGUGCAGACAGUUAGAGUGUGGAUCAGCCAUCAGUGCACUUCAUAAUGCCGCCUUUGGUCAAGGCAGUGGAUCAGUCUGGCUUGAUGAUGUCAAAUGC